GUUUUUAUAGUUUAAGUAAAACAUUAGUUUUGUAAACUAAAAAUAUUAAUAAAAUUAAAAACU
rnacentral:tRNA from 1 species